UAUUAGAUACCCCGGUAGUCCCAGCCGUAAACGAUGCGCGUUAGGUGUAUCGGUGACCACGAGUCACCGAGGUGCCGAAGGGAAACCGUGAAACGUGCCGCCUGGGAAGUACGGUCGCAAGGCUGAAACUUAAAGGAAUUGGCGGGGGAGCACCACAACAGGUGGAGCCUGCGGUUUAAUCGGACUCAACGCCGGGAACCUCACCGGAUAAGACAGCGGGAUGAUAGCCAGGCUGAAGACUUUGCUUGACUAGCUGAGAGGAGGUGCAUGGC
rnacentral:rRNA from 1 species